UACAGAGGUCCCGAGCGUUGUUCGGAUUCACUGGGCGUAAAGGGUGCGUAGGUGGCAUGGUAAGUUUGAUGUGAAAGCUCAGGGCUUUACCCUGAAAUGGCAUUGAAUACUACUGUGCUGGAGGUUUGGAGGGGGGACUGGAAUUCUUGGUGUAGCAGUGAAAUGCGUAGAUAUCAAGAGGAACACCAGUGGCGAAGGCGAGUCCCUGGACAACACCUGACACUGAAGCACGAAAGCCAGGGGAGCAAACAGG
rnacentral:rRNA from 1 species